GGGUUCUCCAAGCUGCAGUGCAAGGGGAAUUGUGGUGGAUGAAGGACGUGGAUGGGAGGCCGCCCGGAAUGAUUGGAUUGUGGCCAGAAAAGAGUGUCACAUUCAUCGACAAUCAUCAUACAGGAUCCACACAACAGUUAUGGGCAUUCCCUUCGGAUAAAGUCAUGCAAGGAUAUGCUUAUGUUCUCACCCACCUAGGAAUCCCUUCCACAAUGCUUUUAGACAAUCGAACAAGCUGUAGUUGUUCAUCAGCCAAGCAAAAGUCAUACCCAGAUCUUGCGUUGUGACUUUGUAUUAUUUGUGGAACCUAAUGUUGUGUAAUAGCUUGAUUGAGUUUGUUUUGAAAACUUUAAAUAGUAAACAAGUGAGAUUGAUUGUUUGAUUGAGUU